GACACGGACUUUUGCUGGAAUAUUGGCGCGAGUUAUUGGACAGUUUUGGCCUACUUAUUGGAAAUGAACAACUUUUGGCGUAUAAAUAGGGCAUGCCCUACUCGUCAGUUCAAGGAAAGAAGACCACGCAUCCAUCCCAACCAACCAACCAACAUGGCUUUCUCAUCCAGAACCUUGGCCGUGUUCGUGUGCGUGAUCCUGGCAUCGCUCGCGUUCCUUGCGCAGGACGGCCUCGCCGCCCGAAUCCUCGCUGAAGCCAGCGGCCGUGCUCUGAGGGACGCUUCGUACGGGGGUAAAUGGCCGAGUCCGAGAUGUGGUGAUUAUUGCGGCAAUGGUUAUCCUCCUGGGCAUCGUUAGGCGCUGGACGACGAUCACCACGCGCUUGAUGUAACGUUCGUCCUGCAAGUUUCCCUAGUUUGAAUAAGCGCCACGGAGCUGGGCGCGUGAAUGCUUGCUUUGUGCGUGGUCAUACGGCUGUAUGAGUCGAGAGAGUCUGUAUGGGUCGCGUGAACCAACAAUUUGUUUAACUAGAGGAUACCCCCUGCGUUGCUGCGGGAAAGCUUUGUCACACAAAAACACACUCUCUCAAAACAUAUAAGGAGCUAAUAGAAGAGUAUUCGAGUUGCAUUUA